rnacentral:rRNA from 1 species
ACGGAAGGCAGCAGUGGGGAAUAUUGGGCAAUGGGCGAAAGCCUGACCCAGCAACGCCGCGUGAAGGAAGAAGGUCUUCGGAUUGUAAACUUCUUUUAUGAGGGACGAAGGAUGUGACGGUACCUCAUGAAUAAGCCACGGCUAACUACGUGCCAGCAGCCGCGGUAAUACGUAGGUGGCAAGCGUUAUCCGGAUUUACUGGGUGUAAAGGGCGCGUAGGCGGGAAGGCAAGUCAGGUGUGAAAUCUAUGGGCUUAACCCAUAAACUGCAUUUGAAACUGUCUUUCUUGAGUGCUGGAGAGGUAGACGGAAUUCCUUGUGUAGCGGUGAAAUGCGUAGAUAUAAGGAAGAACACCAGUGGCGAAGGCGGUCUACUGGACAGUAACUGACGCUGAGGUUCGAGAGUGUGGGUAGCAAACAGGAUUAGAUACCCUGGUA